rnacentral:rRNA from 1 species
GCAGGCCCUACCAAUUGCAAGUUCGAGCGGUAGCACAGAGAGCUUGCUCUCGGGUGACGAGCGGCGGACGGGUGAGUAAUGUCUGGGAAACUGCCUGAUGGAGGGGGAUAACUACUGGAAACGGUAGCUAAUACCGCAUAACGUCGCAAGACCAAAGUGGGGGACCUUCGGGCCUCAUGCCAUCAGAUGUGCCCAGAUGGGAUUAGCUAGUAGGUGGGGUAACGGCUCACCUAUGCGACGAUCCCUAGCUGGUCUGAGAGGAUGACCAGCCACACUGGAACUGAGACACGGUCCAGACUCCUACGGGAGGCAGCAGUGGGGAAUAUUGCACAAUGGGCGCAAGCCUGAUGAUGCAGCCAUGCCGCGUGUGUGAAGAAGGCCUUCGGGUUGUAAAGCACUUUCAGCGGGGAGGAAGGCGGUAAGGUUAAUAACCUUGUC